AGGCCCCUAAGCCUACAGAGCUUCCUAAAAUACCAACUAAGCUCCCUCCGGUUCCUCCAGCACCAACACAACCUCCUAAAAUUGUCAGUUCAAAACCAGGACAAAGAAAGGAUUUUGAUUGCAGCUGGUAUGGAGGACAGGUGACCAGAC